rnacentral:rRNA from 1 species
AUUCGAAGCAACGCGAAGAACCUUACCAAGUCUUGACAUCCUCUUGACCGGCGUGUAACGGCGCCUUUCCUUCGGGACAAGAGAGACAGGUGGUGCAUGGUUGUCGUCAGCUCGUGUCGUGAGAUGUUGGGUUAAGUCCCGCAACGAGCGCAACCCUUAUCCUUAGUAGCCAGCAUUAAGAUGGGCACUCUAGGGAGACUGCCAGGGACAACCUGGAGGAAGGUGGGGAUGACGUCAAAUCAUCAUGCCCCUUAUGAUUUGGGCUACACACGUGCUACAAUGGCGUAAACAAAGGGAAGCGACCCUGCGAAGGUGAGCAAAUCUCAAAAAUAACGUCCCAGUUCGGACUGUAGUCUGCAACCCGACUACACGAAGCUGGAAUCGCUAGUAAUCGCGAAUCAGAAUGUCGCGGUGAAUACGUUCCCGGGUCUUGUACACACCGCCCGUCACACCAUGGGAGUCAGCAACGCCCGAAGUCAGUGACCCAACCGAAAGGAGGGAGCUGCCGAAGGCGGGGCAGGUAACUGGGGUGAAGUCGUAACAAGGUAGCCGUAUCGGAAGGUGCGGCUGGAUCACCUCCUUUCUAAGGAA